GGAAGUAGGCGUAGGCGGUUGCAGGCUCGCCCUUGAGCCUGAGGAAAGUCCGGGCUCCCGAAAGGCCAAACUUGCUGGGUAACGCCCAGUGCGGGCGACCGUGAGGAUAGUGCCACAGAAAGAUACCGCCAAUCGGCAGGCAUUCAAUUGGCAGACAGCAACGGCGAAAAGCUUAAGCCUGGAAGCUAAUAGUCAAAUGCCGAUUGGUAAGGGUGCAAAGGUGCGGUAAGAGCGCACCAGCAGGGUCGAGAGGCUCUGGCUCGGUAAACCCCGGUUGGGUGCAAGGUCGAAGGAACCACGGUUGGCCUUUUACCAGUUCCGCUUGUAAAGAACCGCAAGAGGCGUCUGGUAACAGGCGUCCCAGAUAGAUAACCGCCCCCCUAGUUGCAAGGCAAUUAGGGGAACAGAACCCGGCUUACUACCGACUUUCUCCC
rnacentral:RNase_P_RNA from 1 species